CGGCGCGCCUAACACAUGCAAGUCGAACGAGGUCUUUUAGAAGCUUGCUUCUGGCUGACCUAGUGGCGGACGGGUGAGUAACACGUGAGCAACCUGCCCUACAGAGGGGGAUAACGUCUGGAAACGGACGCUAAUACCGCAUAACGUAUCGGAGUGGCAUCGCUCUGGUACCAAAGGAGAAAUCCGCUGUGGGAUGGGCUCGCGGCCGAUUAGAUAGUUGGUGAGGUAACGGCUCACCAAGUCGACGAUCGGUAGCCGGACUGAGAGGUUGAUCGGCCACAUUGGGACUGAGACACGGCCCAGACUCCUACGGGAGGCAGCAGUGGGGGAUAUUGCACAAUGGGGGAAACCCUGAUGCAGCGACGCCGCGUGGGUGAAGACGGCCUUCGGGUUGUAAAGCCCUGUUGAGGGGGACGAUAAUGACGGUACCCCUUUAGAAAGCCACGGCUAACUACGUGCCAGCAGCCGCAGUAAAAC
rnacentral:rRNA from 1 species